GACGAACGCUGGCGGCGUGCCUAAUACAUGCAAGUAGAACGCACAGUUUAUACCGUAGCUUGCUACACCAUAGACUGUGAGUUGCGAACGGGUGAGUAACGCGUAGGUAACCUGCCUGGUAGCGGGGGAUAACUAUUGGAAACGAUAGCUAAUACCGCAUAAUAUUAAUUAUUGCAUGAUAAUUAAUUGAAAGGUGCAAUUGCACCACUACCAGAUGGACCUGCGUUGUAUUAGCUAGUAGGUGAGGUAACGGCUCACCUAGGCGACGAUACAUAGCCGAACUGAGAGGGUGAUCGGCCACACUGGGACUGAGACACGGCCCAGACUCCUACGGGAGGCAGCAGUAGGGAAUCUUCGGCAAUGGACGAAAGUCUGACCGAGCAACGCCGCGUGAGGGAAGAAGGUUUUCGGAUCGUAAAGCUCGGUUGUAAGAGAAGAACGGGUGUGAGAGUGGAAAGUUCACACUGUGACGGUAUCUUACCAGAAAGGGACGGCUAACUACGUG
rnacentral:rRNA from 1 species